CACGCGGCGUUGCCCCUAAUCCCUCGCCUAAAUCGGGCGGGUAGGACACGGGAGCGUAUGCUGGCCUCCCGCGACGUCUUUGUCACGGUUGGCCCAAAAUCGAGCGCUGGAGCGAUCAGCACCACGACAUUCGGUGGUUGAUGAGACCCCAAUGUUCAAUGUCGUGCGCGUCGCUCGUGCGGGCGCUUCAAGAAUCUACUCCUUACCAAC
rnacentral:misc_RNA from 1 species